rnacentral:lncRNA from 1 species
CAAGGAGCGAGUGAAGGUCAAAGCCACACAUGGGGCUGAGGGGCCAGGUGGCCGCCUUAUGAGAUCGAAGGCGGGAAGCUUUGGAACAGGGCAAAAAGGGGAGCCCAGGGUGAGGGGAGAGGGCCGAGCAGCUCGGAUCUCUGAUGGCUGAGUGGCCUGUUCUGGGUCUGACUACCCUACCCUGGGGCCUGACUCUGCCCAGCCCCUCGGAACACUCAACAAACGCUUGUGGAAGGAGCGAACAAAUGACAAGUCACUAAACCUAAAUACAGAGUCUUCAGCUUUGGAGGAGACUGAGGUGCGGACAUGGAAAAGAAGGUCAUUCUCUUGGAGCCACAGCAAUGACCAGGAGAAAUUCAUUUGGCGGUAAAACCACACGAACCCUAUUACAUCACCAAGCCCUCACCGUUUCCAGCA